GAUGAACGCUGGCGGCGUGCCUAAUACAUGCAAGUCGAGCGAACGGACGAGAAGCUUGCUUCUCUGAUGUUAGCGGCGGACGGGUGAGUAACACGUGGAUAACCUACCUAUAAGACUGGGAUAACUUCGGGAAACCGGAGCUAAUACCGGAUGAUAUUUUGAACCGCAUGGUUCAAAAGUGAAAGACGGUCUUGCUGUCACUUAUAGAUGGAUCAGCGCUGCAUUAGCUAGUUGGUAAGGUAACGGCUUACCAAGGCAACGAUGCAUAGCCGACCUGCGAGUGUGCUCGGCCACACUGGAACUGAGACACCGUCCAGACUCCUACGGGAGGCAGCAGUAGGGAAUCUUCCGCAAUGGGCGAAAGCCUGACGUCGCCACGCCGCGUGAGUGAUGAAGGUCUUCGGAUCGUAAAACUCUCUUAUUAGGGAAGAACAUAUGUGUAAGUAACUGUGCACAUCUUGACGGUACCUAAUCAGAAAGCCACGGCUAACUACGUG
rnacentral:rRNA from 1 species